ensembl:lncRNA
UAAGGAGAUGCUUUUCACUAACCAAUGUGAAAUGGUUUCACACAGCUCAUGGCAUAUAAUAAGUGCUCAAAAUUUGUUUGCUAGAUUAGAGUCUUCUCCCUAAUCUACUUCUCAGUCAGUAACCAACCAUGGCUUCCUCCAUUUCCUCACCAUCCGCUCUUCUUGUGCUCCUCUUGUGGCUUGAAUUUCAGCCUCACCACCUAUCAAAGUGUUUCUCAACCUUUUUCCCCCCCGUUAUUGCCCUGCUAAGGAGCCUUUUAGGACAUUUUUUAAUUGCUCCCCCCAUGACAUUUUAAUACCCCAGAUAUAUUGUUACAUCAUUUUAUGUUCUGUAUUUAUAUCUGUAGUUUACACACUAAAAAAUUAAGUUGUUUUUCAUUCCCCCAAGAACCAUUCUCACUCCUGUGGAGAAUGCAUAAGCUAUCAGACUAAAGUAGAGUGAUCUGGGACACAAGAGAAGGAUAUCACAGAACUAAAUGCUACAUGAAAUCAAUUUGGGAAAUAAAUCCAGACAGGAGGCAGGCAUAGGAGAUUGUCUAGAUCAGGUUUAGUAUGGGUCAAGACAGACAGCUGGCCAUAAAGAUUAGCCAAGAAGGAUAUAGGUUGGAGAAGGCAGCUGAAGGCAGUUUUGGUGGAAGACAGGAAAGGCAAGGUUCAAGGCAAGCAGAGGCAUGGAGAAUAUUGGUCCACUGGGUCAGAGAAUGUCUCAUACAGGGAAAUCCCAAUAUCCAGAAAAGCUCCAUGGAAGAGAAAUUGCUCUCAGAUCUGAAGCCAGAUUAGACAUUUUGCCUUUGAAGCUAAAGAACCCCUAGACUACCAGGCUGCUUAUGCCCCAUUGAUGAGAAUUUCUAAUUAUUAUUUGGGAACACGUCAAGUUGAUCCCUGUUUUCCCUGAGAACCACCCACAUGUCCCGAUACUUUGAACCCUUUGUAUCAGAUGACCAAACCAAGCCUUCCAACCUGCCUUGGAGCUGCGCUGUGGUGUUCAUGUCCUUAGGCAUUCAAGAAGGUUGACUGGAUAAGAAGUCUUGUUUUCCUCUUCCUCAGGUCGUUUAUCUUCUGGAGAUCUUUUUUCUCACAAACUGAAAACAGGAGCAGACCCAGGGCCCUGACUGAGCCUCCCAAAGCUGUGCUUCCUAAGCCAUUAGGAGCUCUUAAAGGAGAUGGAAAGACAAUGGUCCUGCUGGGUUGAUGGACUGAAGAAAGAACAAGGCUUCACUUUACCUUCCCAGCUUCCUUAUCGGCUUCCCAGGAAUGACGCACAUUCUCUGUCUCAUCCUCCUCAAAAGGAGAAGCCCUUUUUCAUAUAGAAGAAGAAAAAAGAUAAAUUACUGAUUUUUAUUUAACUAUUUCUAUCAAAAUUAAAUAUGCACAUAGUUUAAAGAAUCGAAUGGUUCUACAUUACUAAAUAGCAGCCCCCUGCCCCCACGCCAUUUCUCACUCCUCAGAGGAGAUCACUUCCAAUGCUCUAACUAAUCCUUUUUGUUCUUUUGGAAUCACUGUAUCUCUAAACAGCGACUUCCUAAUUUUAUCUAAUCCCUUUCUACUGUGGAAAAUGGGGAUUUAGCUUUCACCCCUUCCGUUACCACACACAUACAUUUCCUGGGCUUAUAUACCUAUAUCAUUAUUAGAUUAAUACUCAGUGUUUACAUUAUUUUGACCAAAUAAAUA